UACAGAGGGGGCAAGCGUUGUUCGGAAUUACUGGGCGUAAAGGGCGCGUAGGCGGCCUUCUAAGUCGAACGUGAAAUCCCCGGGCUCAACCCGGGAACUGCGUCCGAUACUGGAAGGCUUGAAUCCGGGAGAGGGAUGCGGAAUUCCAGGUGUAGCGGUGAAAUGCGUAGAUAUCAGGAGGAACGCCUGUGGUGUAGACGGCUCUCUGGACCAUUACUGACACUGAGGUACGAAAGCGUGGGUAGCAAACAGG
rnacentral:rRNA from 1 species